AUUGAACGCUGGCGGCAUGCCUUACACAUGCAAGUCGAACGGUAACGCGGGGCAACCUGGCGACGAGUGGCGAACGGGUGAGUAACGCAUCGGAACGUGCCCAGUAGUGGGGGAUAGCCCGGCGAAAGCCGGAUUAAUACCGCAUACGACCUACGGGUGAAAGCGGGGGAUCGCAAGACCUCGCGCUAUUGGAGCGGCCGAUGUCAGAUUAGGUAGUUGGUGGGGUAAAGGCCUACCAAGCCGACGAUCUGUAGCUGGUCUGAGAGGACGACCAGCCAAACGGGGACUGAGACACGGCCCAGACUCCUACGGGAGGCAGCAGUGGGGAAUUUUGGACAAUGGGCGCAAGCCUGAUCCAGCCAUGCCGCGUGCGGGAUGAAGGCCUUCGGGUUGUAAACCGCUUUUGUCAGGGAAGAAACGCUCCGAGCUAAUACCUUGGGGUAAUGACGGUACCUGAAGAAUAAGCACCGGCUAACUACGUGCCAGCCGCCGCCGUAAAAC
rnacentral:rRNA from 1 species